GGUGAGAUGGCCGAGCGGUCUAAGGCGCCAGACUAAGGUCACGUGUUGAUUACAUAAUCUGGUCCGAAAGGGCGUGGGUUCGAAUCCCACUCUCAUCA